GGAGACCUCUUAUCAACCUUCCCAUCACGGCUUUGCUUCCUUUCCUGUCUGAACCUGGGAUCUAAGGUCCAUGGCUCCAACCACUGUCUGCCUUCAGUGUUCUCUCAUGUCUUCACGCCUUGCCUUUCCACAAAUCCUGCUCAGCAAACCCCACUCUUAGACCAACUGGAUGGUCCACCACUUCUGUGCUGGUAUCUGCACUGAUGAGUGCUGCCUAACCCCUACUCCUCUUUCCCCGGAAAGAUGCUUUAGGCAUUUAUUCUGUAGGUUCAACACUUCCCUCUCCACUGGCUCCUUCUCCAAAGCCUACAAACAUGCUCGACACUCUCCCUUUUUGAGAAGACAGUCAACUUUCCCUUAGCUACAGUCUAUAUAGCUCCCUCCUUUAAUACUCAAACCCAGGAAAAAUCAGUCUAUAUUUCAUCUCCCUAUCUUCAACCAGAGCAAUCUGCUGUCCUGACCCAUCUCCCUGGAACCUGCCCUGCACUCCACAGAACCCAGCACUCCACGGAGCCCGCCCUGCUGAGACAAAGGUUAUCCAUUCAUGUUAUAAAUCCAACUGAAUUUUUCUUUGGGACACAUUUUACUUUCUCUUUCUGAAAUAUUUGACUCUGCUGCCUACCCCCUCUAUACCCAUUUUUUAAAAAUAUGAAAUUUCCCUUUGCUUUAUACACAUAUUUUAAUCUGGCUUCCACGACACUGCUCUCUCCUGAAAUGUCCUCUGUCUCUUGCUUCUAGGUGAAGCUUGCCUCAUCUUUUCUGAUUCAAAUAUCAUUUCCCAGUGAAUCCUUUCUUGAUCCUCCCAGAUAAAAAUGGCCACUCCCUCCUUCCUAUCAUUUAGCAGAGACUUUCUUA
rnacentral:lncRNA from 1 species